GACGAACCGUGCGAACGUUAUUCGGAAUUACUGGGCUUAAAGCGUGCGUAGGCGGCUCAGCAAGUUGGGUGUGAAAUCCCCCGGCUCAACCGAGGAAUUGCGCCCAAAACUACUGGGCUAGAGUGAGUCAGAGGAGAGCGGAACUCACAGUGGAGCGGUGAAAUGCGUUGAUAUUGUGGGGAACACCGGUGGCGAAAGCGGCUCUCUGGGGCUCAACUGACGCUGAGGCACGAAAGCUAGGGGAGCAAACGGG
rnacentral:rRNA from 1 species